rnacentral:rRNA from 1 species
AGUGAACGCUGGCGGUAGGCCUAACACAUGCAAGUCGAACGGCAGCACAGUAAGAGCUUGCUCUUACGGGUGGCGAGUGGCGGACGGGUGAGGAAUACAUCGGAAUCUACUUUUUCGUGGGGGAUAACGUAGGGAAACUUACGCUAAUACCGCAUACGACCUACGGGUGAAAGCAGGGGAUCUUCGGACCUUGCGCGAUUGAAUGAGCCGAUGUCGGAUUAGCUAGUUGGCGGGGUAAAGGCCCACCAAGGCGACGAUCCGUAGCUGGUCUGAGAGGAUGAUCAGCCACAUUGGAACUGAGACAGGGCCCAGACCCCAGCGGGAGGCAGCAGUGGGGAAUAUUGAAGAAGGGGCGCAGGCCGGACCCAGCCAUCCGGCGGGGGGAAAGAAGGCCUUGGGGUUGUAAACCCUUUUUGUGGGAAAAAAAAAGAGGCAGUUUAAUCCCCCGCUGUCCGGAGGGUCCCAAAAAAAAAGGCCCCGGCAACCUUGGUC